rnacentral:rRNA from 1 species
CUACGGGCUGCUGCAGUGGGGAAUAUUGCACAAUGGAGGAAACUCUGAUGCAGCAACGCCGCGUGGAGGAUGACACUUUUCGGAGCGUAAACUCCUUUUAUAUAGGAAGAAGAUGACGGUAAUAUAUGAAUAAGCGCCGGCUAACUCCGUGCCAGCAGCCGCGGUAAUACGGAGGGCGCAAGCGUUACUCGGAAUCACGGGGAGUAAAGAGCGUGUAGGCGGAUUAAAAAGUCAGAAGUGAAAUCCUAUAGCUUAACUAUAGAACUGCUUCUGAAACUCUUAAUCUAGAAUAUGGGAGAGGUAGAUGGAAUUUCUGGUGUAGGGGUAAAAUCCGUAGAGAUCAGAAGGAAUACCGAUUGCGAAGGCGAUCUACUAGAACAUUAUUGACGCUGAGACGCGAAAGCGUGGGGAUCAAACAGGAUUAGAUACCCCCGUAGUC